CAGUCGCCACGGUAAAACGAUGGGGGCUAGCGUUGCUCGGAAUGACUGGGCGUAAAGGGCGCGUAGGCGGCGAUCAAAGUCAGGCGUGAAAUUCCUGGGCUCAACCUGGGGGCUGCGUUUGAUACUUGAUUGCUAGAGUGGGGAAGAGGGUCGUGGAAUUCCCAGUGUAGAGGUGAAAUUCGUAGAUAUUGGGAAGAACACCGGUGGCGAAGGCGGCGACCUGGUCCUUGACUGACGCUGAGGCGCGAAAGCGUGGGGAGCAAACAGGAUUAGAUACCCGUGUAGUCCCUGUCUCUUAUAC
rnacentral:rRNA from 1 species